GAUGAAGAACGCAGCGAAAUGCGAUAAGUAAUGUGAAUUGCAGAAUUCAGUGAAUCAUCGAAUCUUUGAACGCACCUUGCGCCCUUUGGACAUUCCGAAGGGCAUGCCUGUUUGAGUAUCAUGAACACCUCAACUCUCACGGCUUGUCCGUGAUGAGCUUGGACUUUGGGGGUCUUGCCGGCCUGUGGUCGGCUCCUCUCAAAUGGAUCAGCUUGCCAGUGUUUGGUGGCAUCACAGGUGUGAUAACUAUCUGCGCUUGUGGUUUUCCAUCAGAUAACCUUCAGUGAUAUGGAGGUUCGCUGGAGCUCACAAAUGUCUCUCCUUAGUGAGGACAGCUCUUUGAACGUUUGAUCUCAAAUCAGGUAGGACUACCCGCUGAACUUAAGCAUACAAUAAGCGGAGGA
rnacentral:misc_RNA from 1 species